rnacentral:rRNA from 1 species
UACGAAGGGGGCUAGCGUUGCUCGGAAUCACUGGGCGUAAAGCGCACGUAGGCGGCUUUUUAAGUCAGGGGUGAAAUCCUGGAGCUCAACUCCAGAACUGCCUUUGAUACUGAGAGGCUUGAGUCCGGAAGAGGUAAGUGGAACUGCGAGUGUAGAGGUGAAAUUCGUAGAUAUUCGCAAGAACACCAGUGGCGAAGGCGGCUUACUGGUCCGGUACUGACGCUGAGGUGCGAAAGCGUGGGGAGCAAACAGG